rnacentral:pre_miRNA from 1 species
AAUAAGUGCAGUCGUGGAUAUCCGUGCCCAACGUUUGAUCGUCUGUCUUAUUUGAAAGUUUUGUGAAAAAUUUGAAAAUAUUUAGUCACACAUAAAAUACUAUUCAUGCUUUAUCAUCUAAUAGCAAUAAAAAUACUAAUUAUAAAAAAAAUUAAAAUAAGACGAACAAUCAAACGUUGAACGUGAAUAGUGCAAAACUGCACUUAUU